GAAUGUGAGGGCCGUCUGACUGCUAUAUCUGACACCCUGUUCAUUGAUCCUCAGGGUUAAGAGGCUGAUCUGGCUGUCCAGGUGGGUGUCUCUAUCCUCCCUCACUAUUUAAUACACAUCUGUCCAAAGCCGCAGGCUCCCUUGAAAAAGGAGAACCUUCCCGGAUAGAGACAGAAAGGUCUCUGUUGUGUGGUG
rnacentral:snRNA from 1 species